GAUGAACGCUGGCGGCGUGCCUAAUACAUGCAAGUCGAGCGAACAGACGAGGUGCUUGCUUCACUGACGUUAGCGGCGGACGGGUUAGUAACACGUGGAUACCCUACCUAUAAGACUGGGAUAACUUCGUGAAACCGGAGCUCAUACCGGAUAAUAUAUUGAACCGCAGGGUUCAAUAGUGAAAGACGGUUUUGCUGUCACUGGUAGAUGGAUCCGCGCCGCAUUAGCUAGUUGGUAAGGUAACGGCUUACCAAGGCAACGAUGCGUAGCCGACCUGAGAGGGUGAUCAGCCACACUGGAACUGAGACACGGUCCAGACUCCUACGGGAGGCAGCAGUAGGGAAUCUUGCGCAAUGGGCGAAAGCCUGACGGAGCAACGCCGCGUGAAGGAUGAAGGUCUUCGGAUCGUAAAACUCUGUUAUUAGGGAAGAACAAAUGUGUACGUAACUAUGCACGUCUUGACGGUACCUAAUCAGAAAGCAACGGCUAACUACGUG
rnacentral:rRNA from 1 species